AUUGAACGCUGGCGGCAUGCUUUACACAUGCAAGUCGAACGGUAACAGGCCGCAAGGUGCUGACGAGUGGCGAACGGGUGCGUAAUGCAUCGGAACGUGCCCAGUCGUGGGGGAUAACUACUCGAAAGAGUAGCUAAUACCGCAUACGAUCUAUGGAUGAAAGCGGGGGACCGUAAGGCCUCGCGCGAUUGGAGCGGCCGAUGUCAGAUUAGGUAGUUGGUGGGGUAAAGGCUCACCAAGCCAACGAUCUGGAGCUGGUCUGAGAGGACGACCAGCCACACUGGGACGGGGACACGGCCCAGACUCCUACGGGAGGCAGCAGUGGGGAAUUUUGGACAAUGGGCGGAAGCCUGAUCCAGCAAUGCCGCGUGCAGGAAGAAGGCCUUCGGGGUGUAAACUGCGUUUGUACGGAACGAAACGGCUCUGGUUAAUACCCGGGGCUAAUGACGGUACCGUAAGAAUAAGCACCGGCUAACUACGUG
rnacentral:rRNA from 1 species